GAGCUCAGUUGGCUGUGCAUGAGACUCUUAAUCUCAGGGUUGUGAGUUGGAGCCUCACGUUGGUCA